GACACACGCUAGCGGCGUACUUAACGAAUGCGAGUCGAGCGACGAAAGGGAACUUCGGUUCCCCUGAGAGCGGCGAACGGGUGAGUAACACGUAGGUGACCUACCCAUAAGAGGGGGAUAACAGCUGGAAACGGCUGCUAAUACCGCAUAAACUUUUAAGACCCAUGUUUUAAAAAGGAAAGGUGGCGCAAGCUAUCGCUUAUGGAUGGGCCCGCGUCUGAUUAGCUAGUUGGUGGGGUAACGGCCUACCAAGGCAACGAUCAGUAGCCGGCCUUAGAGGGUGGACGGCCACACUGGGACUGAGACACGGCCCAGACUCCUACGGGAGGCAGCAGUGGGGAAUAUUGCGCAAUGGGGGAAACCCUGACGCAGCGACGCCGCGUGAGCGAAGAAGGCCUUAGGGUUGUAAAGCUCUGUUCUAUGGGACGAAGUCCUUGACUGUGAAUAAUGGCCAAGGUUGACGGUACCAUAGGAGGAAGCCCCGGCUAACUACGUG
rnacentral:rRNA from 1 species